AGAAGCUUCAAUUCAGGAAAACUGCAAUAGAAUGUUUCCCUUCAAUUAAUUCGAGUCGAUUAAUCGAAUCCUCAAUUUUUGCAUUCGCUUCAAGCACCUAAUUGAUUAACUGUUUCAGCUCUGGUUCAAUUAAAGACAACGUUUUUCAAUACAGGAAACAAACAUCAAACUCCCAACAACCAAAACAAAACAAGAUAAAAGAAAAGAAAAAAAAAAAAAAAAGGAAGGAAAACCCCCCAAAAAGAAAAGAACAACAAGGACCAUUGAUUUAAUGCCUUUACAGCCCCACAUGAUACAAUAAAUGAAAGAAUGAGCUGUCACAGGGUUUUUGAGUUGUGGAAGUAGGUCAGAAACAACAACUUUAAUCUGAGCUUUUGUGAACGUCUGUAUGAUCAGUGAAUUAAAUACUGGAAAAUACAGGAUUUUUACUGGAAAAAUAUAAAAUAUGGAGGAUUAUUUUGUAAUAAAUGGUGUUAAAUCGCUUAGAAAAUGUCAAAAAUCCUUUGGAACCACUGUAGCACUGGGUCUUUAUGGGUUAAACACAUCAUCCAAACAUAUUCUCAGCACCAUCGUGACGUUAAUGUGAUUAAAAACUGACUUUGAACACAGUCAGAACAUGUGAGUUGUGUCCAACUGCCCAGAGCUUCCAAAAAUCAACCAAACCAAAAGAUUGCGUUCAGUUCCGUUCUUCAUCUGUGUAGAGUUAGUAUUAUUUUUGAGUUGAUUCCACAGAGGUGACAUUGUUGGCAGGGCCACACAGGUUCGUCUUUACCUUUUUGACGCCAUGUUAUUGAUUAAUUAUGUAUUUGUAUCUUUUGUCUGUACUGAAGUUUUAAACACUGGAGAUUAUUUUCUGAUCAAUGCACUGACAUAAAACAGUGUGGAUUAUGUAGAGAUUAUUUUCUCAGGAUCGGUUUGAUGUAUUUCUAUGGAACAUUACUGUGAAAAUGUAGGUGUUUUAUUUUCUUGAUAACACUGGACUUCCUAGGAAUGUUUUGUUUAGCACAUUUUUUUAAAAUAAAAAAAACGCACUUUUCUGUAUCCAUCUGCUGUAGAGUAGGUUCUUCAGUUGCAGUAAUUGAGUUUUCUGUUCAUCUAAUGCACUGGACUGGACUUUGGAAUAUUUCAUUCUGAUGUUUCCACACAGUUUCACCAAAACCAACUGUUUUUCCUUCUCUUUCUGCCUGUAAAAGCCUCUGGUCUAUGUGGAAAUUCUCACAGUUUUCCCAUUUUUUUGUUUCUGGACUCAUUUAAGUCAUUCCUUCACGGUCUUCAGAGGUACGACAGGUUUCAGAAAAAUAGACGAAGCAGCUGCAGUUUUACCAUCACUCUUCAUUACUUCAUCAUCAUUAUGACUACUGAGUAAAUACAUUACCGAGGCUGUAAAUGUUACUGUUUGUAUUUGUCAGUUUAUACAAGGUCGAUAUAAACACGAGAAAACGGCUGAUCGACUUAAAUGCAUUUGGUCUAUGCAGUUGUGCAAAUGUUUUUUACAUGUUUUUACAGUGUAAAGUACCGUUUCCUUUUGGGCUCAACGUGUCAGCGUUGGGAAAAGUUGACGAUUUCCUGUUCUAUAAAAAAUGUAACGUCCAGAUUUCACUACUGCUAUGCACCCUGAAACUUUCUGUACCAUAAAUGUUUCUAUUCCCAGCACUCGUUCUUUUAGGGAAACUGUAGAAGAAUGUGACUAAUAUGUUUACGUCCACUUAAAAAUAAAACCUUUUGUAAUAAACCUGA